AUGAUCUAAAGUGAAGAUUCCCGUGAGACUUUCAAGAAAAAGCUUCCCAAGAACAAAUCUGUUGCUGCUGUGAGUGUCUCCUUCUCACCUUCAAAGUUAUUUUGUACCUUAGGUUCAUCUUCAAAGGCAUACUAACUUUAAAUUUGUAUGGAUAAACAAGUUUGAAAAGCUUCUGGAGACAAGUAGAAAUUCCUACAGAUGUUGUAUGUACUUUAUCUCAGUUUUAAUGUUCUAAACUAAAUACAAUACUUGAAUUUCACAAUAAUUCUGGAGAAAGGACCUCAUGUUGCUAAGGCUAAAAAGCGCAAGGGUUGACUACGAGAAGAACCUGAAACCUUGCAACAAAAAAUUGGUAAACUAUGUUUCAAUCAAGUGUUUAUUUAUAGAUAGGUCGUUCACCAAUCACUGAUUUGUUGUAAUUUUAAAGAGGAAGAUGAGAAAUUCGACAAGUCAGUGCCAGAGGUUAAUGGUGGAGAUUACAAUGAGGAUGGAAGAGAGGGUUUGACAUGCUCCUCCUUAAUGCAAAGGUUUGUCUCUUCUAAUUUACUUGGUGAUAAAUUCUAGAUCUUUCAGUUCCUUCUCAUAAGCUGAUGAGCAGGUUUGUGUCCUAUAUUCCCUCAAUGAUAUCUUUUGGCGUCGAGCCUAAGGUGAUCGUAGCCACCAGCAUUAAUCCAAAAUUCGUCGGAGGUAGCUAUCUUGAACUUCAUCUUUAAAAGAAGUUUACAGUUCCAUAGUGAUAUGUAACCAUCUUUGUUAAUCUUCCAGGCCGUCUCUUACUGAAUACAACCUCUGGCACUCAUUUCUAUUUCGACAAAGACAAACGCAAGUGAGACCUUCAUCCGAUUUGGGUGUUGGUGACGUGAUCUGCUCCACAAGUUCCACCAAAUAUGAAGGUGUGAAGAAAAUUGAAGUUGUGACGGUCUUUGAGCUUAACGCAUACGUGGUUAACUCGACCCCACAUGUUAAAUCCCUAACUGUUUCUUCUAGCAUAUGUCUCAUUACUAAUGUCCCUCACUUCCUUGCAUCACAGGUUACCGAAUUUUGUGCACCGGAAAAGGUGAGUUGAUUGAAACGGGCAGUGGCUGGUGCUACAUAUCCUGCUCUAAUGGGAUCUCUUCCUGCAUGUAGUGUGACUUAACCUCUGUUGGUGUUGUCAGAUAUCGUGUGGAGCUGUGCAUUUUAGAUGGUACAGAGUCUGCAGUGUUUGUUGUUUUCUAUGCCCAAAUUUCAUGGUUGACUAAUGUGCGUGCGGCGGAAAUCAGUGAACUUAUGGGUGUUGGUGUGGGAGACUGUAGGGGCCGAGGUUCCACAAUUUCUGCAAAAUAUUGUUGGCAGAACGUUCACUUUCCAGUUGGAGCUAACUGAGUUAGCAUCAGACCUUCACUGUUACACGUAUCUUUGACCGCAUCAGCGUCCCCUCACAGCAACAUUUGCGAUUCAUGGUGGGCACAACUAUCCUGAUGACGAUUUGCAUGGUGACGAUAUAAGUUUCCUGCAAUUGCCUGAAGCAGAGGAUGUCUGAGAAGAUCAGAAGCCUACAUAGAAGAAGAAGAGAAAAUGUUACUUGCUCUUCAGGUUUGUACAACAGCUCAAAAGCUUAAAUGAUCAGAGUUGUGCAUAUGCUUGGUCUGAGUUCUGGAUUUUCCUGAGCAUGCUUUGCCACUGACCAGAACAUUUUACGUAAUGACCUCCACAUGAACCCCAGGGGUCCAUCUGCAGCAGAACAGCAAGUGGUGAGCUCAAUUCUGUCAGGAUCAUUGCAGAGGAACAACAGCUUCCAGGAGCUGGUUGCCCACUCAAGAAGGCUCGCACAGAGUAGUUACUCAAGUGAUCUACCUUAUAACCCUUCUAUUUCUUAGAAGCUUAAGUUCACAUUAUAUUUUUUUUCGUCGCAGGAGCUGUUAUAAAGUUACCGAUCACGUUUUUUAUAGCUUCAGUUCUAGAAAUAUAAAAAAUAUUUAUUUCACUUUAGACUAUAACAAACAAACUUAAAAAAAUAUAAGACAUUAAAAAUUCUUCCUAAAGCAUCCCUACAAUUCAACUUUCUAGAUCCCCAACAGCAUCAUACUAAUAUUUUUUUUUACCAACAUCGUACUAAUACUAGCACGUAAAAAAUGAUCCAAACAAACAAAAACACCAAAACAGCCAACACAAAAAAAAUUAAAGGAUUGAACUAUUUCUUUUGGUUUAGUCUUUGAAGAAAUUUUUGUUUUACAGAAAGUAUUUGUAUAAGGUUAGAUUCAUCUUAAUUUUCAAAUUAUUAAUGGUUACACUACAUUUAAGUUAUUUUGGUUAAAUACGAUUUGGUUCAUUCUAAUUUUUUUGAAAUAAAUUAUAUGAUAUAAUGUGGUAUGAAAAUCAAGUAAACUUCAAUUUAAAAUAUUGUCAAUUAAGACAAAGUUCAACAAAUUCUAAAAUAAUU